rnacentral:lncRNA from 1 species
AAGAAUGCCCGGUAUAAAGAGAAUUGGCAACGGUAACUCCCUGUAGCAAGGUGGGUUCCCUGACAGAAGAGGAAAAGGAGGGAGAGCUGCAUUUGCUGGUCUAUUGCGCUUUGCUUAGAGAUCAACAGAGUGACAUCCUAGGGUCUGAGCCUCAACCCUCCAGGCCGCAAGCCUCCCACUUCCACUCCACCAACCUUGACUUGUGGAACAUGCAUCCUCCUGGGGAUAAACCUCUACCAAGAUGUUCUUGUAAGAGUGGCUGCAAGUGCCUGCAUCAGAACCUCAGGAAAGCUGAUAAAGUUGAAGAGUCCUUGCUUUCCUCACUUGGGAGGGGGUGCUGCUGCUGGCAUUUAAGAUGAUUCUGAUUCAUGCUACAGUCUGACAAC